AUUGCGGAGGUCUUGAAAAAGAAGGGUCAACACUGCAAAUAUUGACUCUUUGCAUCAACUUCAUGUAAUUGUCAAUAAAAGCCUUUGACACUUAUGAAAUGUUUGUAAUUAUACUUCAGUAUUCCAUAGCAACAUCUGACAAAAAUAUUUAAAGAUACUGAGGCAGCAGACUUUGUGAAAAUUAACAUUUGUGUCAUUCUCAAAACUUUUGGCCACGACUGUACAUAUAGGUAGGGGUAAAGUGACUAGGCAACAGGAAAGAUAAUAGACAAUAGCAGCAGCGUGUGUGUGUGGCGUCAGUAUGCAUGUGUAUGCAAGUUAUGUGUGUGUUGGUGUCAGUGUAAGUUAAUGUGAGUGUGGGCAGCCAGCUGCUAUCUGGCGAUGUCACUUGUAAGGUUGCAAGCUUCGUUAGCUUCAUUAGGUUACGCUAGCUAGCUAACUAACUAACUACAGCAGAGGCAAACAUGACUAAUGUAAUGUAUUCUAUUUAGAAUCCAAUCCCAUCAACAUCUGCAGCGGCAUCAAUAUCAAGCUCAGCACCAGAAAGUAGUACUAAUCCUGAUGACCUUGACACCAGCUUUAGUAGUACAGAGCCUGUAGACUCAUUGGAUGAAAUCUUUCAGCCUGGAAUAAGCUCAACAUCAUCCGACUUUGAAACAAGCCAGGCCAGCGAAAGGAAGCUUGCAGUACAUACAAAUCUUCUGCAAGACGUCGAAGCAGUUGCCACAGCACCAAAGAACAUUGCCACAGCGCCAAAGCCUGCUAAACCAGCUGCCAUUACCCAAUACAAGAAGAUAUAUACCAGCUGAAGAACAUUCUGGAACCUGCCUGGAACAUUCAACCAACACAACAUCCAUAUUCAGUUAGACUGAUGUUGUAGUAUAACAUAGAAUGCGUAGUAUGCUCAGAACUGAAUUGUGGUAUAGAUAUUGCUAGCUGUUGUACAUAUGUAUCUAAUGGUGUUUUAUAUAAUAUUUUUGACAAGUGUACUGACAAGUGACUAAAUUAUUCUAGCUACAUCAGAAGCCAAUAAAGUGUUAAAUUCAACUUCUGGAUCAAUUUAUUGUGA
rnacentral:lncRNA from 13 species